rnacentral:lncRNA from 1 species
UGAGAGAUUUUAUUUAUUAUUCUUCUUUAUCUGCUCAGUAGGUAGCUGUCAUAUCAAGAUCAUUUGAAUUUUGAAUGAGGUGCGGGUUUUGAGUAGGACUAAAAAUGGGCUCGAGCCGGCCCGAAGCCCAUUGGGCCGGUUUGACUUUAGAUCAGACUUCAGACUAGGCCCGAAAUAGUUUAGGCUGGAUUUGAACUGAAUUAUAGA